AUGCAGAACACUUGUGACCCGUAAGAAUUAGAGAGACUGUCAUUUCUCAAAAGACCCAUGAGGGGCAGCAAGAGAAUGGUCUGACUGACCACAGAAGCUGAACCCUGAUAGAACUCUGAUUUUGAACUUCACUUUUGCCCAGAUGGGAAGAAAAACAUGACUUCCUAUAAGCAAGGAAUUUACUUGUCAUGAAUGCACAGCAGGCUGUGGGACUUUCCCCUUGGAAGUACCUCCGAAUGCCAUGAAGAUGGGCUGUGCACCUCUUAGUGAAAAUACGUGCUUCAUCUCCAAAUGGCCAUGAGCAAAACUAUACUGAUGAAUAUGUUAGCUAAAUAAAGAACAAUAUCAUAAAGG